rnacentral:rRNA from 1 species
GUAGGGAAUAUUGCAAAAUGGGCGAAAGCCCGAUGCAGCAACGCCGCGUGGGCGAUGAAGGCCUUCGGGUCGUAAAGCCCUUUUUGAGGGGAUGAGGAAGGACAGUACCCUCAGAAUAAGCCUCGGCUAACUACGUGCCAGCAGCCGCGGUAAAACGUAGGAGGCGAGCGUUAUCCGGAUUUACUGGGCGUAAAGCGCGUGCAGGCGGAUUGGAGAGUUGGAUGUGAAAGCUCCCGGCUUAACUGGGAGAGGUCGUUCAAUACUUCCAGUCUUGAGUGCAGUAGAGGGAAGUGGAAUUCCGGGUGUAGUGGUGAAAUGCGUAGAUAUCCGGAGGAACACCAGUGACGAAAGCGGCUUCCUGGACUGUAACUGACGCUCAGACGCGAAAGCUAGGGUA